AAAACAGUUCUGAGAAAAAGAAAAUGAACCUUACAUUACAUGUAGCUUCUUGUGUACUUCAGGUAUCUUGUACAUGAUGGAAGUGUGGGGUUGUAUUUCUCAAAUUCAUUCUGAAAAACCUAAUCUGGUUUUCCAUUUCAGUUCUUCUUACAUAAGCUGCCUACUCUAAACAACAUUAGUCAGAAUAUUCAUAGGAUCUGGGUUCCUGAUGGGAAGUUCCCAUUAACACCAUUUUGAGAGCAGUUGGCCCUAUGCAAAGCACUUUAACCCCUUGUUUGGAAUGUGUCUGAAUUAUGAGCAUGCAGUUGAACUCCUAGCUGUGUGUUAGUCUGGAAGUACUGGAUAUUUUAGAUGUGUUUGAUACAGAAUAAUUUCUUUGAGCAAAGUUCAUAAAAUAUUUAAAUGUCAUGUUUAGCCACUUCUAUAUUUUUGUUUAAUUAGUUAUUUCACAUAAAAUUAAUAUGCUUUUGUUGAUACCNGGAGCAACUCUCUUACUCUUCCUAUUCCGUCAGGGUCUGAUGUAUGUACAGCCACUAGUGUUGAGUCAGUAUCUCCAGUUCAGAAUAACAGAACUUUUAAAGAGGAUGACAGGCAAACUGCAGAGGUAAGUGUUUCAUAUGGUGUUCCACUAAAUCUGUCUGUUUUUUUCUGAGCACAUAUACAAGUUAUUUAUGUGACUAAAUAAACUAAGAACUGUUUGCUAAAUGAACAGAAAUGCAAUACUCAAUUAAGGGAAAAAAAGCUUAACUAAAAAAAUGCUUAACUAAGAAACUGCAAAGCACCAGCAAACAUAUUGGAGGAAAACAGGCUGCAGCUGUGCUCUGCAUCCUACUGUUCACAGUUUUGUUCAUGCUUUAUCUUAAUUAAAAUCAGUAUGCUGAGUAACUUUAAUUCUAAAGUUAAAAUACCCACUUCAGCUACUUCAGUAUAUGCUUCUGUUUCAGAUGGCUGAACUCUUCUAGACCUAUUUAGUUGAGUGGAAGAAGUUACCAUAUUUAGUAUUGGAUAUUGCUGAUAGGAUGUUACAACUUCAUGUUGCUAUUUGUUGAGCAGUUUAUGUGAGUGCUUUCUAAUUUGCUUCAGGUAGCAUCACAUGGCUCUUUGAAAAGAUUUUGUCAUGAGUGGAUUAGACAAUGCUUUAAAUACGUAACAGCAGAGUUUUGGAGUAGUAACUACAAAGGGAAAAAGUAGCAACAUACGUGGGCCAGACCCCCCAAAUGGAAUGUGUUUCUUGCCUUAAAUUACUGACACAGGUGCUCUUAGCAAAAGUGCAGAUUCUGUACGAAAGUAGAGAAGGAAUUUUGUCAGUUCUAAUGGAGACUGCAACCAAGUUAUAACCUGUGGUGAUAUAUGCAGAGUAAGAUUCUAUAUAGUUUGCAUGCAUAUAUUCUAUACAUCUGCCUCAGUUGUCUCUGUAUCUUACUGUAUCACAGUGAGAAUAGGAUGACUAACAUACCUUAACCAUACUUCCAUAGCCCUAAAACCUGUAAUACUCUUAUAUUUGGCUGGUAGGACUUCUGCUGUUAAAGGUGCAAGACAAUGAAGUCCUGUGCACACAGUAAAGUGGUGCAAAUUAUUUAUCUCAAGUAACAGUAGAAUAGAAGAAAGGUUUGGUAUGGAUUGGUGAGCAGAGUAAUCAAGUACAUUUUAAUGAGAUUUUUCAGCAGUAUUGUAUAGAAUUAAACACACCACUAGAAAUGGAAUUGACAGGAACAUGGAGGUGUGACAA
ensembl:lncRNA